AUUUAAUUCGCUAUAUGGGGUCUCCUAGUAAAAGGAGGCGUUUAAUGAACUGUUGUGAAUACGGCCCCGAACCUCGAUAAACUAUGAUUCUCUGUCGAAUUCUUGAACACUGACUAGCUCUAGAACAUUAAUAUCCGCUAAAACUACUCUUUAAUGCUAGUGGAAAGCUGUGAAUUUAAGCGAAUGAGACGAUCAAUUACAUUAAUGCUCGCUGUUAAACGGAAUGUUCACGAAUGAAGUCCCACUACCACUCACUCAAAGUCCUAGGUGUUCGUGAUUCGCAGAAGUGCGCUGCAGGAUAAUCGUCCCGAAAAACGAUGCAGAAGUGCGCUUGAAUAUAUUUUAUCUUAUAAUUUGAAUAUUUCAUAUUCAACCCUGUUUUUAGUUUCCUUAAGAGCCCAAGGAAUAAAAUUGAGGAGAAUCAAAGAUUCAGGUCAAAGCAAAGUGAAGCCCAAAGACCUGAAGAUAUCAUCCAAAGGAUACUUGCAAUUUUCGUUAAAAAUCUGUCAACAUUGAACACAGCUUUCAGUCCACUGCUAACACCAAUCAUGAACUUUCCACGGAUCAACUUUGAAUGAAGGCUUGAUUUCCUUUUCCUCAAAAAAAUUGUCAAGUGCAUAGUCACCGGGACGAGUCACCAGUUGCAAUCUGCCAAAAUUGUCUGAUUGUGAAAACGCCGAAAAAUGCCUUUCCCGGUGACGCUUCUUGCAAAAGCGGGCUCAACGGCAAUGCUCAAGAAGUUCCUUCUGCCUGCCAUCUUGAAAUCCAUAUUAGUAAUAUCGACAAUCGCCUUAGGACCAAAAGAGGGACUACUCCUUAAGGCUGUGAAACCGGUCGUUCUGAAAACCUUAGCCAAAAUAUUCCUCAAACCUAAUUUAAAAGAUUUAAUCAAGAAAGGCCCUCUGGGUAUUGUGAUCGCAGUGGCCUUAGUAGGGGUUUUGAGUAUGGGCGGUCUCGUUACUGCUGCCCUUGCUGCUUUCUUUGUCGGAAGUCUCUUCUUCCGCGGCUUUAAAAACUGGGCGUGAAUUUUCCGCAGUAGCUAUUCGCGCAAGUUGGCACCACUGGAUUUUAGCAGCUCAAUGUUUACUAAUGGAAUCCUUGCGUGUAUGAGGUAUUUGUGAAAUAAGCAUUUUCAAAAUUUUGCGAGAAGCACGAUGGUGCCAUAUUCUUUUACCAAAGAUUUGGGGGUUCCUGUACAUAAUUCCAAUUUUCAACAGUUCCGAGAAAAAUUCUGAUUUUUUCAAAAAUUCCGCGGAAAAAAUCCCGAAGUACGUCCGAAUUUAGUCACAAUUAUCGUCAAAUUUGAUAGAUAAAAAAAAAAAAAAAAAAAAAAAAAAAAAAAAAAAAAAUCAACUUUGAUCAAACAACCGCUCAAACGAAAAAACCCCGAAAUUCCGAGGAAAUUCCGGGAAUUCCGAAGAUUCCGAGUGAAGUUGAACAAGAAAUUGCAAAAAGUUCCGACAUCUUGAAUCUGGGAAAUGGCACCAGGUGCCACUGAUUUUCUCUGAAAUCAGCUCCUUAGCUCAAAACAUACUCUCAAAAUCCAGGCCGUAGUAUAUCCCACGCUACAGUGAAAGUCCACCUUUAACCUCUCCUCGCACAGAUAGGGAUUGAAUACAUCAUAACAAGGUUGCCCGUGGUUCCAAUCUUGGAAACCUGAACUAAAUGGCAACUCUGCUAAUGUAUUUGAUCUCUAUCUGUGCAUGGAGAGUUUGAAUACAUGUCUAUAAGGACUCUCAACGUAGCGUGGGAUAACCUCUCUUCAUGGCCUGAACCUUAAGAGAUUUCUUUUGAGCUGAGAAGUUGAUUUCAGAGAAAACCAGUGACAUCAUCGUGUUUCUUUACAAAAGAAAAGCAUUCAUGGUGCAAAUUCCUGACACACGCAAGAACUCCAUUAAUCGUUACCUUUCCAGGCACGCUCACUCGAAAGAAAGUCGCUUGGAUCUGGAGUCCAGACACUUAAUAACAUUGACAAGAAAAUAUACUCUUGAUUCAAUCGGAUUUUUCCAUGAAUCGAAGAGCCAAGCCUCUUGGUUUAAGCGGAUUUCCUUUUGAUUCAAGCAAAAAUCCGAUCGAAUCAAGAGUAUUUUUCUUGUAAAUGUUUUUAAGAGUCUGGACUCUAGAUGCAAGCGACUUUUUCUACCAGUGCUCCCGUAUCGAUUUUUUACAGAGGAAACAUACUUUAGAGACCUCGCACAAAUAAUCUAAGCAAAUAAAGGGAAGUUUAGUGCGGAUAUCAACGAUAUUUUUUGCCUAAUGGUGAUUCUUAAUUGAUAAACUUGUUCAGCACGCCGUUUACCAAAUAAAUGAACAUCGGGUUGAACACUUUUUUCGAUGAGUUUUUAAAACAUAAGGUUGGAUUGCUAAAUCAAUCGCUCAACAAUUUGGCCAUCAAUGAUCAUUCGGCAGAUCUGAACCUUAUUUUUCAGUAUAGAGAGGACAGCAGCGCAAGUCUCUAAAAUUUGUUGUCUCUGUUUAUAAUUGAUUCAAAUGGAGAAAAACAAUGAUACCAACUUGCAAAUAUUGCCCUGAAUUUUCUAGAUGCCGUUGAGCUUGUAAAUAAGACAUUUGCCGAAGGCUAAUGGCAAAUUGGGCACUGUGGCCAAUAUUCAAUUAUUUUUACUUUUUGGGGCCAGUUCUGCCAAAGAAUGCUUUGUAUUUGGAGAUAACAAGUUUUUGUAAUAAUGAGGAUGAUUUAAAAAUUAUUUAAGUGAUUCUCAGCGCUUUUGUAGCUGAUUAGAAAUGAAGACGCUUGAAUGAAUACUCACCUCAAAGUUUUGCAGUAUUCAAUUCAAUAUAUAUACAAAAUGUCCAUAAAGUGGACUCCUAUUGUCAAAUUGUCAUCGUUUGACUCGUGUUUGAAUUCAAAUUAUUGAAUUUUUUUUCUAAAAACGUAAAACUUCCUCUUUAUAAGUUGACAAAUUGAUAAAAUACCUAUAUUAACUAUUCGCCUGCGGCUUACUCGAAGGGCUUCAUUGUAGGUAAUUCACAGCUCCACCUGCAGCCCACAUAGCAAACAGUGAGACCACUUCUGUUGUCAUUUUGCCCAGUGUGUAGCUUGCCUUCCUUCAGGAGCCUCUCAUGAUGAAAAAAUCCAACAAUUACACGGAAAAAUUGCAAAAUGGACCAUUCUUAGAACAAUCGAAGCAAAAAGACUCAAUUUUAUAUCACCUCUGAUGAGAUUGUAGACUUAUUUAAUUCUGUAAAAUAACCGAAAGUUGAAUUAAAUGUAAGGUACAUAUGUA